rnacentral:rRNA from 1 species
AGAUUAAGUUAUUAAGGGCGCACGGUGGAUGCCUUGGCACUAGAAGCCGAUGAAGGACGUUACUAACGACGAUAUGCUUUGGGGAGCUGUAAGUAAGCUUUGAUCCAGAGAUUUCCGAAUGGGGAAACCCAGCAUGAGUUAUGUCAUGUUAUCGAUAUGUGAAUACAUAGCAUAUCAGAAGGCACACCCGGAGAACUGAAACAUCUUAGUACCCGGAGGAAGAGAAAGAAAAUUCGAUUCCCUUAGUAGCGGCGAGCGAAACGGGAAGAGCCCAAACCAACAAGCUUGCUUGUUGGGGUUGUAGGACACUCUAUACGGAGUUACAAAGGACGACAUUAGACGAAUCAUCUGGAAAGAUGAAUCAAAGAAGGUAAUAAUCCUGUAGUCGAAAAUGUUGUCUCUCUUGAGUGAAUCCUGAGUACGACGGAGCACGUGAAAUUCCGUCGGAAUCUGGGAGGACCAUCUCCUAAGGCUAAAUACUCUCUAGUGACCGAUAGUGAACCAGUACCGUGAGGGAAAGGUGAAAAGCACCCCGGAAGGGGAGUGAAAUAGAACCUGAAACCGUGUGCUUACAAGUAGUCAGAGCCCGUUAAUGGGUGAUGGCGUGCCUUUUGUAGAAUGAACCGGCGAGUUACGAUUUGAUGCAAGGUUAAGCAGUAAAUGUGGAGCCGUAGCGAAAGCGAGUCUGAAUAGGGCGUUUAGUAUUUGGUCGUAGACCCGAAACCAGGUGAUCUACCCUUGGUCAGGUUGAAGUUCAGGUAACACUGAAUGGAGGACCGAACCGACUUACGUUGAAAAGUGAGCGGAUGAACUGAGGGUAGCGGAGAAAUUCCAAUCGAACCUGGAGAUAGCUGGUUCUCUCCGAAAUAGCUUUAGGGCUAGCCUCAAGUGAUGAUUAUUGGAGGUAGAGCACUGUUUGGACGAGGGGCCCCUCUCGGGUUACCGAAUUCAGACAAACUCCGAAUGCCAAUUAAUUU